UACAGAGGUCCCAAGCGUUGUUCGGAUUCACUGGGCGUAAAGGGCGCGUAGGCGGUCGGGUAAGUCUGACGUGAAAUCUCCAAGCUCAACUUGGAAAUGGCGUCGGAUACUAUUCGGCUCGAGGAGUGGAGGGGAGACUGGAAUUCUCGGUGUAGCAGUGAAAUGCGCAGAUAUCGGGAGGAACACCGGUGGCGAAGGCGGUUCUCUGGGCCUGACCUGACGCUGAGGAGCGAAAGCGUGGGGAGCGAACAGG
rnacentral:rRNA from 1 species